rnacentral:lncRNA from 10 species
UUUUUCUUGGAGACAGGGCCUCACGCUGUCACCCAGGCUGGAGUGCAGUUGUGCAACAUCAUGGCUCACCGCAGCCUCAACCUCCUGGGCUCAAACAGUCCUCCCAACUCAGACUCCAGAGUAGCUGGGACUACAGGUGUGCGCCACCACACUCAGCUAAUUUUUUAUUUUAUUUUUUUAGAGAUGGAGUCUGUGUUGUCCAGGCUGGUCUCAAACUCUUGGGCUCAAGCAAUCCUCCCACCUCAGCCUCCCAAAGUGCUGGGAUUACAAGCAUGAGCUACUGCACCUGCCCUCUGUUUCCUUUGGAAAUCUCUUACCUUUCAUUAGGGUUUCUUUCAUAGCAAUUUCCUUUGGUUUUUAAGACUUCUACAUUGCUUUUUCUUUUAUUAUCUGUGCUCCGUGAACCUUAUGAAUGCUGCUUAAAAAUAAUGUCAAAAUAUGUUUUAGCUGCCUACUCAGGUAACGUUUUCUUUUGCUCUCAUCUUGGUUUCCAUAUACUAUUUUUGGUUUUUUGUGAGAUCUAAUCAAUGAUCUAGUCAGAAGCUACUUCACUGGCUAACAGUGAUCAUGUUCAUGUGCUAAAAAUGAACUUGAAACACGGAAGUAGUGGUUGGUCCAGUUUGAAAGCUCUUAUUAGUAUUCUUCAUCCUGGCUGUAAUAAUAGCCAUUAUUUGUUAUGCCUUUGUUAUGUAGCAGACACUCUUAAGGAUUUUAUGUGUAUUAUUCAAAUUGCUAUUACUGUUCUUUUUAUAGUUGAGAAUCUCAGGAUACCUACAUUUAUCACUUUUUCAAUAUAUAUGUAUUUCUUAUUCUUAUUUUGUCUUGGAGUGUUUAAUGUGUUAUUUCCUGUUCAUUACUUUAAUAUUAUGGUAUCUAGGCUUGUCUUUAUUACCAUGAGCAAGGUCUCCAGGAGUUCCACAGUACUGAAGGAAAAUUUUGUCAUAUCCCUCAGAAGAACUGAAUAUUUAUUAUUGGUAUGGGCUCCUUUGUUUAUUCUCUUCUCCCAAUUAAUAGAUUUUAAAUGAAAUCUUAUUAGCUAGAAACAAAAGCCACUUACUCCUUGCUGAGAGCCAAUUACUUAAAUAUAUUUCUUCCUUAUAAUAAAAUAAUUUGCUUCUAGGAGCAGAAAUCUAUCUUGCCAUACCCUUUGGUUUUUAAAGAUUUCUCUUCUAUUUGCAUUUCUGCACUUUGGUGGUUCUCCCAUGAAGAUAAUUAUGGUGUCAUAAAAUUCACAUUCCACUGGUUCCUUUGAAUCUUACCAACCACUCUUGUUAACAGAGACAAUGAACCUGAACUGUUUUAGGACUCUUGUUAUUACUGAGACAGGUCACAAACAUCAAAAUAGGAGUCCGUGGCUUGUAGUGAUGCUUUUUAGUCUUGUGAUAGCACAAUCCAUCACUUUCCCCAAAAUUCUUGUCAUAGAACAUAAUGAAAAAUAUGUAAAAUACCCAUUUAUGUGGCAUUUCAUUCACUUAAGUUGCAGUUAACUCUAAGCCAAAUUAUACCAUUUUUUCUCUCUGUACUUUAGCUCCUUGAAUUUCCUUAAUCUGGGAAACUUUUGUUCCCACACCAAGGAACAAAUUCAGGGGGUACAAGUGCAGGUUUGUUACAUGAGUAUAUUGAGUGAUGCUGAGGUUUGGGGUACAGAUCCCAUCACCAGGUGGUGAGCAUAGUACCUAACAGAUAGUUCUUUAAUCCAUGCCCUCCUCUCUCCCUCCCUGCUCUAGUAGUCCACAGUGUCUAUUCUGGUCUGGGAAAUUUUCAUCACUUUCCACCAAUCUUCUAUUUAUUCUCCAAAUGUCUUCCAAAGUAUCCUGCCCCACCCCCUCCUCAUCCUAAGAGAUUCCUUUAACUUCAAGAUCAUAUCCAGUGAUUGCUGAAAAAUGUCUGCCAUGCACUUGCUAAGCUAGUGUUUUUAGGCAUUAACAUUUAUUAUCACAUCCAUAUUUAUAUUUUUGAAAUAAUUUAUACUUCUCACUGAUAUCAUCUAAACAGAUGCUUCUCACAGUUUUAUGUUUUGUUUUUUGUCAGGGAUGAAAGACAAGUGAGUGGUAUCACUUAAGGGAAAGAACAGUAGGCUUAACGAAUAGCAGACCUGGAUUCUAGUUCUGGCUUUGUCAUUUACUAGCUCUGGUACCCCAGGCCAGUCACUUACCAUCUCUGGUUCGGUUCUCAUCUAUCAAACAAAGAGGCUAGACAAGAUUAGAAACUAAAGGCAGAAGACAAGGUAGAAAAAUCAUAUGAUUUUGGGAAGAGCAUUUUGUCCUUUGGUUUAGAAGACCAGGCUGCCCAAAAGAGCCUCCUAUUUUAUCCAUAACCCCUGAUGAUAAGGUUGGUGGGAACAGAGUUUCUAAUAGUAAUCAUAAUAAAUUUCAGAAGAGUUUUAAAGCUUCUGGUCAACCCCCUUGAUUUAUAUGGGUGAUAAAACUGAGGCCUAGAGCAGUUGUAAUAUGUGCAAAGUCAUAGUGACUGGCCUCCUAGCCCAACUACUUUGUCAGCUACAAUGAAAUGCUCAUUAACAGAAUCUUUCUGCAAGUAUAAACAGAAUCUAUUUUUUAUAAAACAGCUGGCCACAACUAACCAUGCCCCAUCUUUACAACUGCUUCUGACAUUCAUUUAUGACUGCUUUGCUCACAUUUAGGAAUAAACUUUGAAAAAAAUACUUUGUCAGAAAUAGUGCCAAGUUUUCACUACAUCUAUUCUUGUUCCUGUAUUUCUUUUCGUACUUUUAAAUUUUAUACAUCUUUUUAAAACAAUUUUAUACAAUUUCCUUUACUACAACAUCCAAGCAAUUCAUUAGAUGACUACAGCCUAGAUGAAGGUAUAAAUGCCUAUUACAUCUACCUCAUUAAAGAACUUCGUUGUAAUUCUUGGGCAGUUUCCAGACUCUGUUACAGAAACAGAGGGCUGUUUCUUUUUGUUGUCUUUAAACUUUUCAAAUUAAUUCAAAACUAGUAUCUAAUUGUCCUUUUUGCUGUGGUAUGUGGUGUAAUGUUGAUUGGGAAUAAGAAUUAUGGUAGAAAUAGCAGAUGUUUCAAAUUCUCCCAUAUUAGUCUCUUAGGGACGCUAGCUCCAGAUUCCAGCCCCUGGGGCAAUAACUUGUGAGGAUUUUCCUGGUGUUACAAAAAAUAUUGCUGUUAAAAAACUAAGACUCAAAACCAAAAGUUGUGAUUAAUAAUAACAGGAUUAUUAGUCAAUAAUAUUUUGAUUAAUACUAUAGAAUAGCAACAGUGAAUAUACCUCAAAUUGAAAACUUUUAGGUUGUGUUCUUGGCUCAUUCUCUCAUAACCUGGAUCUAAGUUGGAAAGCUGUGGCACCCUGUUUGGGUGUCCCAUCUACCCUGUUUUCUGUUUCUGCAGAUGGCUUGUUCAAGCUUCAUUUUAAGCCUGCUCUGUCUACUUAUCUUCCUUAUAUCCUAAUAGACUUCUCUUGUGUUAUUACACAUUUCUCUUUUGCUCUAAUAUUUCAUUAUUUUCCAGUUUGUCAGUACCGUUAUCAGAGGGACGAGGAAGGAAUAACACACCAGUUGACCAUUUUGUUUCUCUGAAAAUCUGAGCAAUACGGAGAUCCUUUUAUUAGUAAAACUGAAUCAUUACUCAUACUACAAGGGCUUUCACUUUUAAAAUGUAAUCCAUCAUUGCUUGCCAUUUUUAUGAAAACCAAAGUUGAAAAGUCUUCUGAAUCACAGGCUAUGUAUAGCCACACAUGCAUGACUUCAGGCUAGCAUAAAGACAUGUCUGCUCCUGAGCCUCUUCUUUUAAAGGGCAACCACUUGUAUACCCUCUGGUGGCCACUCCUCCUUCUCCACUCCAAGGCAGCCCUGGUACUUUCCUAAGUGGCCCCUCCUACAGAGCACUUGCCGGCAUUUGGCCUGCUGCUGGUGAAGACGCCCCUUACUAGCUUCAUAAAUGUUUUUCUGCAAGCAGGGAUCCCAGACACAUACUUUGGUUUCUAGUGUUUCAGUUACUAUGUUGUAUUUGAAAUUCUCAUUCCACAAUUACCCUUUAGUUGAAGUCCUGAAGUACAUGCCAUGUACUCCCCCUUUAUUUCUACCUUGAUCAAUGGCCUCUGCGGAGUGUAGUGAAAGACAUCUUUUUAUUAUGAUCUACACUUUAAAAAACCAAAGGCUGCCUGUAUUACAUUGCUUUGGGGAGUUGUUAAGACUCUGUUUUUUCUACUGCUUCACAUUAAACAAUAAUUUUGUUGAAUUUUGAAUUCUUAAAAUUCUCACUGACAAACAUUUUAGGUCAGUGUUGAGGAAAAUGUGUGAUGCAUGUUAGAGAGGUGAUGCAUUCUCCCUUAUGCAGGGACAUGGGUAUAUGUGUUACAUAUGCUGAUAUAUAACCCACCAUUCAUCCCAGGACCACAAGGGUAGCUGUAGAUAAACUGGUUAUCCUAAAAUCAUGAUUAUCAGUGUUGAUCUCUGCAACCAACAUUGCUUUAGGGAGUUGCUAGUCAUUACCCCUGCUACAAUAGAUAGUAUUUGUCAGUCUAAGUUACAGACAAAAAAUUCUAGGUUGACUGAUUAAGAAAGCCAUGUGUUUUAAUUUCCUUCAUGUUUUAAAAACAAUGGACGUAAGUGCAGAGAGACCUUUGAAAAUAUUAAGGGAAAUCUAUUUAAUCCUAUAGGUAUGUGAUGACUUGUUUUUUUGGAAAAAGGUAUUUGGAACAUCAAUCUGUAAUUAUCCAUUUUCCAUUCAUGCAUUCACUAAUUCAAUAUUUGAUAUGUGUCUGGGAGUGCUGGGAAUAACAUAAAUACAAAAAAAACCCUAAGAUAAUCAUUCACCAGAAGCUCAUAGAUAUAAUACAGUUAUAUAGCUAAAUGCAACCAGUUGUUUUUCCAAAUGUACUCAUCAUCUGUAAUAAAAGAAAAAUGAAGUAAAACAUCUGAAACCUUAACUUACUCAUGAGUUGCUACUUCCUUGGAGGCAACUGUAGAAGCAUUAAUAUAUGGUUCUUUGGGUUGGGUCAUACUGCCCUCUGCUGACUCAGUUACUAACUAAGGACAACCUGGGUUUGAGGAUCAGGAGAGGAUGGUGUGGGAACCUGCCUCAGGAACUACAGUUCCCUUUCUUUGAAGGAUUCUAUCCAGAAGAGACCAUAUCCUACUAACAUACUAAUAGGAGCAACAUAGCAGAUCAA